rnacentral:rRNA from 1 species
CAGUAGCCGCGGGAAUACGUAGGUGGCAAGCGUUGUCCGGAAUUAUUGGGCGUAAAGGGCUCGCAGGCGGUUUCUUAAGUCUGAUGUGAAAGCCCCCGGCUCAACCGGGGAGGGUCAUUGGAAACUGGGAAACUUGAGUGCAGAAGAGGAGAGUGGAAUUCCACGCGUAGCGGUGAAAUGCGUAGAGAUGUGGAGGAACACCAGUGGCGAAGGCGACUCUCUGGUCUGUAACUGACGCUGAGGAGCGAAAGCGUGGGGAGCGAACAGGAUUAGAGACCCCCGUAGUCCCUGUCUCUUAUAC